AGCUUUACGGCUCGGGAUUGAAAAUCCCCGUGUCGGCGGUUCGAUUCCGUCCUCGGCCACCA
rnacentral:tRNA from 1 species